GGGGGCGACUUGGCUUCGACGUGGGUAGCGAAGCCUAAGGCGCAUGCCGAGGAUACAGCUAGCCUCGUUAAACCUGCUGUAAAACUAUAGUUGCCAACGACGACAACUACGCACUGGCUGCUUAAAAAGUAAGCGAGUGCCCUUCGACUGAGCUGUGCUUGUGCAGCUCAAUUCGGGGGUCAUCUUACACAAGCUCGUGGUAGGGCUCGCCUGUGGCCAAGCCACUAAAACGUAAAUGCAGGCUCGCCGAUCAUCACCCUGCCCGUCGGACGAUGAUCGGUUAAGAGAAAGACGUGGCUAAGCAUGUAGUGCCAAAGGCAGAAGACUUGCGGACGCGGGUUCGAUUCCCGCCGCCUCCACCA
rnacentral:tmRNA from 1 species